UAGGGAAUCUUCCGCAAUGGACGAAAGUCUGACGGAGCAACGCCGCGUGAGUGAAGAAGGAUUUCGGUUCGUAAAACUCUGUUGUUAGGGAAGAAAAAAUGUAUAGUAACUAUAUACAAAAGAGACGGUACCUAACCAGAAAGCCACGGCUAACUACGUGCCAGCAGCCGCGGUAAUACGUAGGUGGCAAGCGUUGUCCGGAAUUAUUGGGCGUAAAGCGCGCGCAGGUGGUUUAGAAAGUCUGAUGUGAAAGCCCACGGCUCAACCGUGGAGGGUCAUUGGAAACUAAUAAACUUGAGUGCAGGAGAGAAAAGUGGAAUUCCUAGUGUAGCGGUGAAAGGCGUAGAGAUUAGGAGGAACACCGGUGGCGAAAGCGGCUUUUUGGCCUGCAACUGACACUGAGGCGCGAAAGCGUGGGGAGCAAACAGG
rnacentral:rRNA from 1 species